AGUUGUAGAAUCACUGGUGAAUAAGGGGUGGGCAAGUUCUGGUGUCAGCCGCCGCGGUAAAACCAGCACCUCGAGUGGUCAGGAGGUUUAUUGGGCCUAAAGCAUCCGUAGCCGGUUGCAUAAGUUUUCGGUUAAAUCUAUGCGCUUAACGUAUAGGCCGCCGAAAAUACUGUGCAGCUAGGGAGUGGGAGAGGUACACGGUACUCGAUAGGAAGGGGUAAAAUCCUUUGAUCUAUUGAUGACCACCUGUGGCGAAGGCGGUGUACCAGAACACGUUCGACGGUGAGGGAUGAAAGCUGGGGGAGCAAACCGGAUUAGAUACCCGGGUAGUCCCAGCUGUAAACGAUGCAGACUCGGUGAUGCAUUGGCUUGUGGCCAAUGCAGUGCCGCAGGGAAGCCGUUAAGUCUGCCGCCUGGGAAGUACGUACGCAAGUAUGAAACUUAAAGGAAUUGGCGGGGGAGCACCACAAGGGGUGAAGCCUGCGGUUCAAUUGGAGUCAACGCCAGAAAUCUUACCUGGGGAGACAGCAGAAUGAAGGUCAAGCUGAAGACUUUACCAGACACGCUGAGAGGUGGUGCAUGGCCGUCGCCAGCUCGUGCCGUGAGAUGUCCUGUUAAGUCAGGUAACGAGCGAGACCCCUGCGUCUAGUUGCUACCAUUACUCUCUGGAGCAGUGGAGCGAAUUAGACGGACCGCCACAGUUAAUAUGGAGGAAGGAAGGGGCCACGGCAGGUCCAUAUGCCCCGAAACCCUAGGGCUACACGCG
rnacentral:rRNA from 1 species